rfam:Puccinia graminis f. sp. tritici CRL 75-36-700-3 supercont2.60 genomic scaffold, whole genome shotgun sequence.
GGACAGAUGGCCGAGUGGUCUAAGGCGCCGUCUUAAGGAGGUCGCCAGGACGUCGAGAGGUGUUCCGGCGGUAGUCCGGCGGUCUUCGGGCGUGGGUUCGAAUCCCACUCUGUUCA